rnacentral:rRNA from 1 species
ACAACUCUAUACGAUGGAUAUCUUGGCUCUUGAAUCGAUGAAGAACGCAGCGAAAUGCGAUAAGUAAUGCGAAUUGCAGAACUCUGUGAGUCAUCAAAUCUUUGAACGCAUAUUGCACUUCCUUUUGGGAGUAUACUUGUUUGAGUGUAGUUAAAGGUUUCUAUCUAUAAUAGAUGAAUAUUGGAGUUAGUAUACUAUACUUUCUCUAAAAUGAAUAUAUUCGUAUAUAAGAAUAGUAUUUGAGGUAGUUGCCACAAGUACUAUAUUAUAUAAGAAUAUAUUUAAUAAGAUCUAUCUCAAAUCAAGUAAGAUUACCUGCUGAAUUGAAGCAUCUAAGUAAGCAGAGGAAAAGAAAAUAACAAUGAUUCUCUUAGUAACGGCGAGUGAAUAGGGAAUAGCCCAAGCUUAAAUCAGCUUUGCUGAGUUGUAGUGUGUAGAAUCUAACUUUUGUUCAGUGUUAAUAUCAUAUAAUUUGGUUGGAAAACCAAGUAAUAGAAGGUGAUAACCCUGUAAUAUGAUAUGACUGAAUGUUGGAUUCUUGGAGUCGAGUUGUUUGGGAAUGCAACUCGAAGUGGGUGGUGAACUCCAUCUAAGGCUAAAUAUGUUCAAGAGACCGAUAGUGAACAAGUACCGUGAGGGAAAGAUGAAAAGAACUUUGAGAAAAGAGUGAAAUAGUACUUGAAAUCGUAUAGAGGUUAAGCAGAGUUGGUGGAUAUUGUAUUUGAAUGUACUAUAAUCAAUUGAUUAUGGCUUAUUCUUAUACAUAGUAUAAUUUGUGUGUGAAUUGGUUAAUAUUAAAACGAAUAUGCGCAUAAAUGAUAUAAAUCCUACAUCUCUGUCCCGUCUUGAAACACGGACCAAGGAGUCUAUCCUGUAUGCAAGUUGUAUGGUGUAAAACCAAUAAGCGUAAUGAAAGUAAGAGGUGUGAAAGUUGUAAAAGUGUCAACACCUGCCGAUCUAAAUUCUUUGAUGAAAGAUUCGAGUAUGAGCAUAUAGGGUGGGACCCGAAAGAUGGUGAACUAUGCCUGAAUAGGACGAAGCCAGGGGAAACUCUGGUGGAGGUUCGAGUGGAUUCUAACGUGCAAAUUGAUCUUUAAAUUUGGGUAUAGGGGCGAAAGACUAAUCGAACCAUCUAGUAGCUGGUUCAUUCCGAAAUUUCCCUCAGGAUAGCUGCAACUUAUGAAAUAGUUUUAUGAGGUAAAGCGAAUGAUUAGAGGUUUCUGGGAUGGAAUAUCCUGGACCUAUUCUCAAACUUUCAAUGGGUAAGAAAAGUGUGAUGUUUAAUUAAUCAUACUAUUUGAAUAUGAGUUGCAAGUGGGCCAUUCCGGGUAAGCUGGACUGGCAAUGCGGGAUCAACCGAACGCUAUGUUACGGCGCCAGAUUGUUCGCUCAGUUGGAUGUAAAAGGUGUUAGUUCAUCUAGACAGCAGGACGGUGGCCAUGGAAGUCGGAAUCCGCUAAGGAGUGUGUAACAACUCACCUGCCGAAUGAAGUAGCCCUGAAAAUGGAUGGCGCUUAAGCGAACAGCCUAUACAUAGCCAUUAUUGUUAGGAUUAUACAAUAAUGAGUAGGAAUGCGUGAUGAAUGUUGUGAAGUAUGAUGUGUGAACAUGUAUGGAACAUUCAUUAGUGCAGAUCUUGGUGGAAGUAGCAAAUAUUCAAAUGAGAUCUUUGAAGACUGAAGUGGAGAAAGGUUCCAUAGGAAUAGUGAUUAUCUAUGGGUUAGUCGAUCCUAAGAGAUAGGUGAAAUCCAUUGAAAAGUCAAUUUCGAUUGACAUUUAUCGAAAGGGAAUCAGGUUAAUAUUCCUGAACCAAAGAGAAGGGUAAACGGUAACGUAUAGGGGUCUCAAGACAUUGAUGUUAUUCCCAGGAAGAGUUUUCUUUUCUUGUUAACAAAUGGGCAGUGCUUGGAAUCGAUUCAGUCGGCGAUAAGCAUUGUUAUUUGGUAAAGUACUACUAUUUUGUGUAGUAUCUGGUGCAAUGACAUGAAUCCUUGAAAAUUGAGACUUUUGUUUUCCCGAAGCUUUGGUCGUACUAAUAACCGCAUCAGGUCUCCAAGGUGAAUAGCCUCUAGUUAAUAGAAUAAUGUAGAUAAGGGAAGUCGGCAAAUUAGAUCCGUAACUUCGGGAUAAGGAUUGGCUCUGAGGGCUAAGUGGGUUUAAGGUGUUAAUAGUAUAAGUUUGAUAUGGGAUUGAGUGUUUUGAGUUGCUUCGGUGAUUUGAAAUAUUUGGUUCUAAUGUCUUAGUUGUCUAUUUUCAUCUACCACUAUGAAUAGCUAACUCAGAACUGGUACGGACAAGGGGAAUCCGACUGUUUAAUUAAAACAAAGCAUUGUGAUGGUGUGAAAGAUAUGUUGACACAAUGUGAAUUCUGCCCAGUGCUCUGAAUGUGAAAGUGGCGUAAUUCAAGCAAGCGCGGGUAAACGGCGGGAGUAACUAUGACUCUCUUAAGGUAGCCAAAUGCCUCGUCAUCUAGCCAAGGGAACGGGCUUGGAAAUAUCAGCGGGGAAAGAAGACCCUGUUGAGCUUGACUCUAGUUUAACAUUGUGAAAUGACUUUAGAGGUGUAGCAUAGGUGGGAGGAGGUAACUCCGAUCCUGAAAUACCACUACUCUGAAUGUUGUUUUACUUAUUCCAUGAAAGAGGAUACUUACUUAAUUGUAAGUGUUAUGAUGUAAACUUUGGUGACCUCUUUGGGAGACAUUGUUAGGUGGGGAGUUCGGCUGGGGCGGCACAUCUGUUAAAGAAUAACACAGGUGUCCUAAGAUGAGCUCAAUAAGAACAGAAAUCUUAUGUAGAACAAAAGGGUAAAAGCUCAUUUGAUUUUGCUUUUCAGUAUGAAUACAAACUAUAAAAGUAUGGCCUAUCGAUCCUUUACAUAAAGGGAGAUCCUUGGUAGAGGUGUCAGAAAAGUUACCACAGGGAUAACUGGCUUGUGGCAGCCAAGCGUUCAUAGCGACGUUGCUUUUUGAUUCUUCGAUGUCGGCUCUUCCUAUCAUUGCGAAGCAGAAUUCGCCAAGUGUUGGAUUGUUCACCCAUUAAUAGGGAACGUGAGCUGGGUUUAGACCGUCGUGAGACAGGUUAGUUUUACCCUACUGAUGAAGUAAUUGUCGUAACAGUAAUCUAACUUAGUACGAGAGGAACCGUUAGUUCAGAUAAUUGGUAAAUCCAUUUAACUGAUAAGUUAGUGAUGGGAAGCUAUCAUCUGUGGGAUUAUGACUGAACGCCUCUAAGUCAGAAUCCUUGCUGAAAUGAAACGACGAUUCUCUUAAUAAGAGGAACAAUUUGUAUUUCACGCAAGAAUACUUGAUAUGUUAGUAUCAAGGAAAGCGAUUUGUAUAGUAUUGAAUGAAAUUGAAUUGUUAUUGCAAUCGUUUGUAGACGACUUAUAGUAAAGAAG